UGUAAAAGCUGUUUGAAAAGACUGCCUGAAAUGUCAGCCUGUUUUGGUAGGAUGGUGUUUUGGCCCUCCAUGGUGACAUCCCCAUGUGGUAAUUAGUUAAUAGACCAAUAAGAAAGACAUUUCCCAAAWACUCGCCUACUCAGACCACUCCCAGACAGUCCUAGCAAAACURUUGCUUGAGAAAUUUACCUUAGCUAUUUUUAUUUAUUUUUUGACUAUUUUAUUGAAAACAAUCACAGUAAGGUACUUAAUUGUUACCCAUAAAUAAUUUGAUACUAAGAUACAAAUUACUGCAUUGGACCUUUAACAUUUUAUGUUGAAUUAUGAGUUUGUAUUCCAAAUACUUCAUUACAAAUUAUAUAACCAGCUUGUCAACUAAGAGUCAAAAGACUAGACAGAGACAAAAUGUUUGAUGAUUUUUCCUGGAGUCGUUAUGGUUAGCUUUUUGCAAAUGUGUAGUAUUUGAAUACGUUUUAUCAAGCAAAGUUAUGAAUGUAUCACAAUGCUUUACAAUUCUGUAUGAAGCCUGCAAAUGACAUGGCGGCUCCGCCAUUUUGUUGAACAUUUCCUUGGAUGUGACUGAGGGACUGAAUCUGUAUUCUCGCGUUGAUUGCCAAGCCACAAUAACAGACAUGUUAGUUAGUGUUCUACUCUGAUCAUGUUCUCCUUCACCCUCCUCUCACUGUGGAUUUGUAGCAUUGCAAAGCAUAACCAGGAACAUAGCUUCGACUAACAGGUUGGAUAUUUACUUGAUUAACCAUUUUAAUCUAAGUUGAUAUUAUCUAAAGUUAAUACUGAGUAAGAUGCAUAGCAUACAGUAGCAUAUCAUAUUUAUUAACAAUACGGUUAAACAAUCCCUUCAAAUACUACAGACGGAAUAGUUACAUUUACCUCCCUGUUCUUCCUCCAAGCUUUUUUCUGUUGUACUAGGACAUCAUUUGUUUUUAUAGCUGUAUUGUUUGCCAAAGUUCUUAUGCACACCUGUGUACGGUUGCGUUCCUUAAAAUAUAUCUUAGUUGAAACAUAACUUCAUGAAAACCUGCCAUGUUAACAUUUCUUAAUUUAUUAUUUGAAAAGUGUUUAAAGAAAGCAUGGUUGGGGUCAUUUACAAAUAUAAAACACAACGUAUAGAUAAAAUAAAAGUGCAUGUAAUUAAUUACAGACAAAGGCAGCCCAAGUAGAGGAGAGGGAAGCGAGGUAGAGGCACACAGUGGUAAAAAUUGGCAGGCCACCCAAAACCAAAACCCUAUCCUCAAGUGAACUUGUUGCAAACGCUAAGUGCUACAUGCACGCUAAGCUAAAUGAUAACUACAGACAGUUCCAAACCAACCAUCUCAAACAAAUUCAUAGUUACAUGUCCAUUUCUCCUACAUCCUCUACAGAAACUGAACAGGGCUGUGCAUACAAUAAAAUACACAAUAUUAAUAUACAUCUACAGUAGCCACAAACUGUAUGUGUCAAUGUUUAUGCUUAAAACCAAAGAUGUGGAUUUUUCAAUUGGCUAAAACACAUGGCGAGAUGUGACGUGAGGCUACACUGCUUUGGAUGGGGUUCUAGGGAUCUACUGAAGCUCAGACAGGCACAUCCAAACCAGUGUAUCUCGUUUUUAAAAAGAAGACUGUAAAGACUGCUAAUAACGACCUAACUCAGCUGGACCAUUUCGUCAGUAAGUAAACACAAAGAGUGUUUUUUUUGUUCCUGCUAGCGGCAGGUCCAUUUAAUGUAGCCACCUGUGUCUUAUCGAACGUUGUUGUGAAGAGAGGAGGAGAGGAGAGUGGAGAGUCCUCGGAGUAAGCGAGCGGAGGAACCGGUUGUCUGUUGCCGUGCUGUUCUAGCGAGGGAGCCAGCAAGGAACGAACGGGUGGUUACGUAAGGAAAGUGCUCCUCAAAGACCCACUCUGCAGAUGAGAUGAGAGCCCAAAACAGGAACAGCCAUGUUGGCUAGUCCCGUCUGAGCUAACCUAACAGCACAAUGUCAUCCACAAACCAACAGAAAGUUACACACAGUUAAAGAAGCAAAAGAGUAGUUUCCCCCACCUUUUUCUCUGCUAGGCAUGCAAUCUCCUGCUAUACUUUUCAUCUGGCAUUAAAGACAUGAGGCAUCAAAAUAAAUCCAGAACAGGAGACAUGCAGAGAUUUGACCCUUUUUCCUUUUUCUUUCUUUCUUUUUAGAGCUCCUGAUACUUCGGGGCAGAGAGGGGAAAAAAGUUCAAGCGUGUGAGCCCAGCCUUUGCCGUUAUUUGGAACCAGAGCCAAAAGAGGCAGGAAGUUGUUUUACAAUAGUGUUAUAGUAAUCUGCCACAAAUGGGAAAAGCCAAACGCUGGUCACACAGUGGAGAAGGUGGUGGGACAGAGAGAGGGAGGGAAAGAGGAAGUAUGAAAAAGACAGAGAUACAAAAAAACGAAAAUCAAAAUAAUAAUCGGUAUGUACUAAGAUGGUGGAGGACUGGUCUGCCAUGCUGUUUUGUAGUGUGUGUGUGUGUGUGUGUGUGUGUAUGCGCGCGCAAACAGCAGGGUGUAGGGAGGGUGGAGCGCGCCACAAUGCAGGAUUCUAGAUGAUUCCAGGGUAAGGGAUAGUUUAGAAGCAAAUAUACUCAACAAUCUUUUCCUAUUUGGACAAGGUAUCCUGUGCCUUUUUACCCAGAACCCCUCGUGUUUUCUGUGAAUUCUCAAUCACGUUGUAAUCACAGCAGCUGUUUUUCUUCCAGUAAAGCAGUGAGGUCUCACCCAAAACGCUUAUCAGGCUUUUUACUCCUUGCCAAAAUAGCUGUAAGGGUCGUGCGAUGUUUAGCCCCUCGGAGAAGCAGAGCCAGGGCAGGAAGAGGACAGUCUUACUGUACUGUACUGUAACUCUACUAACCCCGCUCUCUACCCUGCCACGUGCUACACUACAGUAUUAUACUCAAGUAGCUCCCAUUUUUCCAUAUCUGCUUUUUGUCUUCUCAAUGCUGCUUUCACGCUAGCUGCUGUGGCAUGCUAAAGAGUUGAUACUUUCUGUCUGUGAGCCAUGGCUUGCUGUAGAAUAUGAUCCAGACAGACUGUUGCAGCUUGACGAGAGAGAGAYCUACAGUACUGUACUGUACUGUACCAGAUAAGGUUAAUCAUUUAACCUGCUCUCAGAACUGUUGCAUAUUUCAAAUGUCCUUAGGCAGGGCAGUCCACUCUGAGUGUUUGUACGUUCUCUUUUUUUCGUUUCCUUAUUUUUUAUGCUCUGUUCUGUAGCUGAUUGCCGGGGUGCGGAGAGUGCUAGUAUGGCGUGAGUGCGUGCACUGCGUCUGCGCACUGCCGGAGGAGUGCAUUUCUGUGUCAUUCUUCCUCCUCUACCCCCUCCCACCCUCGACUGCUUUCCGCCCUCCCACUCUCCCCCGUCUCUCUCUCUCUCUCUCUUUCCCUCUCUCUAUUUCCCUCUUGGUCGCCGUCUCCCACCCUUCUCUCUCCCUCCUCCCUCUCUCAAGUGCAUAUACAGUUCCUUGCCGUGUUGGAUGUGUGAUGAAAAAGUGGCUGGCUCUCGUGCUCCGCCGCACCUCCUAUUUCAUCAUCAGUCGAGCUUUUCUCUCCUUCACUCUGCGCUUGCUGCCUCGUCUCUUCUAUGGCUCGCUCCCCUGUUCUCAGCUCCAGCCGCACGCAGGGGGGAGACUCGAGCUCUGUGGGGAGAAAAAAAGAACAAAGGUUUGCUGCUAUUUCUACAGUCAGGGCCUCCCCACAGCCCGCCCUUCCAUAGAGGAUUUUUUUUUUUUUUUUUUUUACUACUAGCUGGAUUUUAACCCUCUGCCUCCAAAUAUCUACACAACGGCUCUGCAAAAAGCUGGCAACAAGUAGCUUUUUUGGGGCCUUUACGUAGUUUUGUGCGGCAAUUUUUGCAUCAGUUUGGAUCUUGCUGUUAUUUCUUCUUUUUGGGUGUUAUUUUUUCAUCUGCAUUAAUUCCCAGAGUUUUAUAUUUCUCUUUGAAAGAGUUUGGCGGUGUUUAUUUUGAAUGUGUUAUUAUUUUUGUCGUCGUUUGGCCGUGUUUGUAUCUCGCCACGUGAUGAGCCUUCUUCCUCCUGGAGCUGUGUUCGUACGGGCGUCAUUCCUACUGGAGAUGUGGAUCCAGCGUGGAAAAAAGAGAGGAAGAGAGAAGCUGCUCAGAAUUUCACCCCCGGAUUCGGAACGUUUCGGAAUUGCCUCUACUGCAGAAUAUUUGCUGCAUGACUGACUCAGACCUUGGCCGAUGGCACGGGACUUUUGGCCAAUCAGAGAACCCCAUGGUCAGACAGACGGACAGCCCUAGCAAUGCUGCUACCUGACAAGCUGCUUAGAGCCUGAUGGAGAGAGGAGGAGGAGGAAGGUGAUAGCCAG